AGAAAACUGGAGAUGGAAAACUACCACAGUAUAAAGGAGCGAGCUCUCUUCAAACCAUUAAUGAACUCUGCAGUCAUCAACCAAUCACAGAUGAGAGAACAGAAAUACAGCAGAAAGAGAUGACCAUUAAGACAAAACCCACAAGGCAGAAAUGGACCACCAGGCUGAAUGUAGAGCUGGCAGUGAGCAGCAGUCAGUGAUUCAGGAGACGCAGAAGAAGAAGAUGGACGAUGUAAAUGCUGCUGUCAAC